rnacentral:rRNA from 1 species
UACGUAGGGUGCAAGCGUUAAUCGGAAUUACUGGGCGUAAAGCGUGCGCAGGCGGUUCGUCGUGUCCGAUGUGAAAGCCCCGGGCUCAACCUGGGAAUGGCAUUGGAAACUGGCGGACUCGAGUGUGGCAGAGGGGGGUGGAAUUCCGCGUGUAGCAGUGAAAUGCGUAGAGAUCGUAAGGAAGACCAGUGGCGAAGGCGAGUUCCUGGACAGCUGACUGACGCUGAGGCACGAAGGCCAGGGGAGCAAACGGG